AAAAGGUUCUUUUCCUGGAGCCGAUAAAUAGCGUGGAAAUUGUAUUGGCGCGACAACUUAAAGCUUAUCCUGUCAAUCAAAAACACAGAACCACAGGUCCAGACAGCAGCACUUGCACAGAAAGAUUGAGACUUGAGAGUUGAGUGAGAAAUGCGAAGCGUAACUCUCUCACAGAUGGCUUUGAAGCCACAUUCAUUGCCUCCAUGUCCUAAACCUCAUAAGCCCCAUUCCACCUUUAGCUUACUUCCCUUGAAUUCUCUGUCCAAGAAGCUAAGCUCCAAAUUUUUCUUUCGUAACCAAUCUCUUAUUUUCUCCAGGUAUCCAAAAAAAUGGUGUGAGAACCCAAUUGAAGAGGCAUUUAGACAUGUUCUGCCAACAGCUUCAAAGAAUUUGGAUGGCCUUGAGGUUAGGGGCCUUGAUUGCCAGAACGUCCAAGCAACUACAGAAUCCAUGCUGGAUCUGGAUGAUUUUUGUGGCUCACUCGCAAAGUAUAAUUCAACAAGGGAAUAUCAAAAGGCGGCUUCCACUAAAUCAUAUGGUGGUUGGCUGAAGUUUGUGCUUCUGUUUGGAUACUUAACACUUCAAGGCUCUCAUCAGGCAUUAGCUGGAACAGAUUUUGCCUCUGGAUUUCAGUCAAUUCCUUAUUUGGGUGACUUUGGUGAUAUUAGCACAGGUUUUGCUUCAGCAUUCCUGCUGAUAUUUUUCUCAGAACUGGGAGACAAGACCUUUUUCAUAGCGGCGCUUUUAGCAGCUAGGAAUUCUGCUGCGAUUGUUUUCACUGGGACCUUUGGUGCACUUGCGGCAAUGACUAUCAUAUCCGUGGUUCUUGGACGAAGUUUUCACUACAUUGAUGAAAUUCUUCCAUUCAAGUAUUUUCCUCAAGACUUACUUAUUUUAGACACUUAUGAACUUGGGAAUAUUCCAUGCAUGACAUGGUGUUGGAUGCUAGAAAUGUUGAGAUAUAUUGGAGGCUGUAUUCAAUUGAUUUUGCCUGGUGGUUUUGCUAUGCAACGAAGAACAAACUUGGUGAGACUGAUUUGCCUGUUGAUGAUAUUGCUGCUGUUUGCCUUCUGGUAUAUUUUGGGGUUUCGACACUGAUUGAUGCUAGCUCAAGUGAUAGUCUAAAAGCAGAAGAUGAACAAAAGGAGGCGGAGCUAGCAGUUUCAGAAUUUUCUGGAAAUGGUGCCGGCAUUUUAGCAGCUGCUAACACCAUUGUCAGUACCUUCCUAUUGGUUUUUGUUGCUGAAUGGGGUGAUAAAUCUUUUUUCUCCACUGUAGCCCUUGCAGCAGCAUCUUCGCCUAUUGGUGUUAUUGGUGGAGCCCUGGCUGGCCAUGGUGUUGCAACUUUGAUUGCUGUUCUGGGAGGUUCUUUGCUUGGCACGUACUUAUCAGAAAAGACCAUCGCGUACACUGGAGGCAUUCUUUUUCUCGUCUUUGCUGCUGUAACAUUGAUUGAGAUAGUGAGUUAAAUUUUGUUGUAGAUCAAACAUUCAAAUUCAUAUUAUGUUUCUAUAAUCCAUGUUGCUAAGAAUUGUUUUUAUAUUGAUCAUCUAUUCUUGUGGCCUACUAUGUAUAAAUAGGCUAUUUUGAUUUGUACUUAUAUUGACAGAAGUUUAAGUCCAAAAUGUUGAACUAGAACAAGAGUGGAUGGCUGUAUAUGCUUGGAUUUUCUUGUUGAUAUGAGUAUAGAAGUUGGCCACUUCUUUUUC